AGGUUGUGAUUCGGACACUUGCGUAAUAAGUCCUUGUAUCUCACAUGCCUCAUAUAAUGAUUCACCCUCAAGUUGGGUGAAGAUAGUAAUAUCAUUCCUUAACUU